CCUAGUAACUGCGAGUGAAGCGGGAAAAGCUCAAAUUUAAAAUCUGGCAGUCUUUGAUUGUCCGAGUUGUAAUCUAGAGAAGUGUUAUCCGCGUUGGACCGUGUACAAGUCUCCUGGAAUGGAGCGUCAUAGAGGGUGAGAAUCCCGUCUUUGACACGGACUACCAGUGCUUUGUGAUGCGCUCUCAAAGAGUCGAGUUGUUUGGGAAUGCAGCUCAAAAUGGGUGGUAAAUUCCAUCUAAAGCUAAAUAUUGGCGAGAGACCGAUAGCGAACAAGUACCGUGAGGGAAAGAUGAAAAGAACUUUGGAAAGAGAGUUAAACAGUACGUGAAAUUGCUGAAAGGGAAACGCUUGAAGUCAGUCGCGUUGUCCGGGGAUCAACCUUGCUUUUGCUGGGUGUACUUUCCGGUUGACGGGUCAGCAUCAAUUUUGACCGUUGGAUAAAGUGUAAGGGAAUGUGGCAUCUUCGGAUGUGUUAUAGCCCUUGCUCGCAUACAACGAUUGGGAUUGAGGAACUCAGUACGCCGCAAGGCCGGGAAUUUAUUCCACGUUCGUACUUAGGAUGCUGGCAUAAUGGCUUUAAUCGACCCGUCUUGAAACACGGACCAAGGAGUCUAACAUGCCUGCGAGUGUUUGGGUGGAAAACCCGAGCGCGUAAUGAAAGUGAAAGUUGAGAUCCCUGUCGUGGGGAGCAUCGACGCCCGGACCAGACCUUUUGUGACGGAUCUGCGGUAGAGCAUGUAUGUUGGGACCCGAAAGAUGGUGAACUAUGCCUGAAUAGGGUGAAGCCAGAGGAAACUCUGGUGGAGGCUCGUAGCGAUUCUGACGUGCAAAUCGAUCGUCAAAUUUGGGUAUAGGGGCGAAAGACUAAUCGAACCAUCUA
rnacentral:rRNA from 1 species